rnacentral:rRNA from 2 species
UACAGAGGUCUCGAGCGUUGUUCGGAUUCAUUGGGCGUAAAGGGUGCGUAGGCGGCGGGGUAAGUCUGAUGUGAAAUCCCGGGGCUCAACCCCGGAACUGCAUUGGAUACUGCUCUGCUUGAGUACUGGAGAGGAGACUGGAAUUUACGGUGUAGCAGUGAAAUGCGUAGAUAUCGUAAGGAAGACCAGUGGCGAAGGCGAGUCUCUGGACAGUUACUGACGCUGAGGCACGAAGGCUAGGGGAGCAAACGGG